rnacentral:rRNA from 1 species
UACGGAGGGAGCUAGCGUUGUUCGGAAUUACUGGGCGUAAAGCGCACGUAGGCGGUUAUUCAAGUCAGAGGUGAAAGCCCGGGGCUCAACUCCGGAACUGCCUUUGAAACUAGAUAGCUUGAAUCCAGGAGAGGUGAGUGGAAUUCCGAGUGUAGAGGUGAAAUUCGUAGAUAUUCGGAAGAACACCAGUGGCGAAGGCGGCUCACUGGCCCGGUACUGACGCUGAGGUGCGAAAGCGUGGGGAGCAAACAGG